rnacentral:rRNA from 1 species
UACGGGGGGGGCAAGCGUUGUUCGGAAUUACUGGGCGUAAAGGGCUCGUAGGUGGCCAACUAAGUCAUGCGUGAAAUCCCUCGGCUUAACCGGAGAACUGCGUCUGAUACUGGAUGGCUUGAGUUUGGGAGAGGGAUGCGGAAUUCCAGGUGUAGCGGUGAAAUGCGUAGAUAUCUGGAGGAACACCGGUGGCGAAGGCGGCAUCCUGGACCAACACUGACACUGAGGAGCGAAAGCCAGGGGAGCAAACGGG